rnacentral:rRNA from 1 species
CCUACGGGAUGCAGCAGUGAGGAAUAUUGGUCAAUGGACGGAAGUCUGAACCAGCCAUGCCGCGUGCAGGAUGACGGCUCUAUGAGUUGUAAACUGCUUUUGUACGAGCAUAAUAGUUCUUACGUGUAGGGAUUUGAAUGUAUCGUACGAAUAAGCACCGGCUAACUCCGUGCCAGCAGCCGCGGUAAUACGGAGGAUGCGAGCGUUAUCCGGAUUUAUUGGGUUUAAAGGGUGCGGAGGCGGGUUAUCAAGUCAGCGGUAAAAUCGUGGAGCUCAACUCCAUCCAGCCGUUGAAACUGAUGAUCUUGAGUGGGCGAGAAGUAUGCGGAAUGCGUGGUGUAGCGGUGAAAUGCAUAGAUAUCACGCAGAACUCCGAUUGCGAAGGCAGCAUACCGGCGCCCGACUGACGCUGAAGCACGAAAGCGUGGGUAUCGAACAGGAUUAGAUACCCCGGUAGUC